rnacentral:rRNA from 1 species
GUGAGGAAUAUUGGGCAAUGGCCGAAAGGCUGACCCAGCAACGCCGCGUGAGGGAUGAAGCUCCAUGGAGUGUAAACCUCUUUCGGGAGGGAAGAACUUCUCCAAAGUUAAUAAUUUUGGAGAUUGACGGUACCUCCUAAAGAAGCCCCGGCUAACUCCGUGCCAGCAGCCGCGGUAAUACGGGGGGGGCGAGCGUUGUCCGGAAUUAUUGGGCGUAAAGGGCGCGUAGGCGGAAUAGUAAGUCAGAAGUGAAAAUCAUGGGCUUAACUCAUGACCUGCUUUUGAUACUGCUAUUCUCGAGUGCGAGAGAGGAAAGCGGAAUUCCCGGUGUAGCGGUGAAAUGCGUAGAUAUCGGGAAGAACACCGGUAGCGAAGGCGGCUUUCUGGCUCGCAACUGACGCUGAGGCGCGAAAGCGUGGGGAGCAAACAGG